AUUGAACGCUGGCGGCAUGCCUUACACAUGCAAGUCGAACGGUAACGGGUCUUCGGAUGCUGACGAGUGGCGAACGGGUGAGUAAUACAUCGGAACGUGCCUAGUAGUGGGGGAUAACUACUCGAAAGAGUGGCUAAUACCGCAUGAGAUCUACGGAUGAAAGCAGGGGAUCGCAAGACCUUGUGCUACUAGAGCGGCCGAUGGCAGAUUAGGUAGUUGGUGGGAUAAAAGCUUACCAAGCCGACGAUCUGUAGCUGGUCUGAGAGGACGAUCAGCCACACUGGGACUGAGACACGGCCCAGACUCCUACGGGAGGCAGCAGUGGGGAAUUUUGGACAAUGGGCGCAAGCCUGAUCCAGCAAUGCCGCGUGCAGGAUGAAGGCCUUCGGGUUGUAAACUGCUUUUGUACGGAACGAAAAGCCCUGGGUUAAUACCCUGGGGUCAUGACGGUACUGUAAGAAUAAGCACCGGCUAACUACGUGCCAGCAGCCGCGGUAAUAC
rnacentral:rRNA from 1 species